rnacentral:rRNA from 1 species
GAUGAACGCUGGCGGCGUGCUUAACACAUGCAAGUCGAACGGAAAGGCUCCUGCUUGCAGGGGUACUCGAGUGGCGAACGGGUGAGUAACACGUGGGUGAUCUGCCCUGCACUUCGGGAUAAGCCUGGGAACUGGGUCUAAUACCGGAUAGGACCACAUUUUGGAUGGUGUGGUGGAAAGUUUUUCGGUGUGGGAUGAGCUCGCGGCCUAUCAGCUUGUUGGUGGGGUAAUGGCCUACCAAGGCGUCGACGGGUAGCCGGCCUGAGAGGGUGUACGGCCACAUUGGGACUGAGAUACGGCCCAGACUCCUACGGGGGGCAGCAGUGGGGAAUAUUGCACAAUGGGCGCAAGCCUGAUGCAGCGACGCCGCGUGGGGGAUGACGGCCUUCGGGUUGUAAACUCCUUUCGCUAGGGACGAAGCGUUUUUGUGACGGUACCUGGAGAAGAAGCACCGGCUAACUACGUG